rnacentral:rRNA from 1 species
UACGUAGGGUGCAAGCGUUAAUCGGAAUUACUGGGCGUAAAGCGUGCGCAGGCGGUUCUAUAAGACAGAUGUGAAAUCCCCGGGCUCAACCUGGGAACUGCAUUUGUGACUGUAGAGCUGGAGUACGGUAGAGGGGGAUGGAAUUCCGCGUGUAGCAGUGAAAUGCGUAGAUAUGCGGAGGAACACCGAUGGCGAAGGCAGCCCCCCUGGGUCAAGACUGACGCUCAUGCACGAAAGCGUGGGGAGCAAACAGG